rnacentral:lncRNA from 1 species
CUGAAACCUCUGCUGCUUGUAGCAGUGACCUUUACAAUAGCAGGUCCCUGAACAAGAUCUUCUAUUCUCGGGAUAUGGGAGGCAUCAGCACAGUAGAAAACGAAGCUGACCAUCUCUCAGGAGGCAGCUUAGGUUGGGAAUCUCUUCAGGCUUGCUUUCUGCAAAUCGCUGGGUACAAAACAUUAUUGCAGAUGUGGAAAAAAUGUGCAGAGAACCUGUGCUUCUGAUAAUGCCUGACAUGAAGAAAUGCAUCUGAAGGUUAGUCCUUGAAUACAUUUUAAUCUUUCACUUAGGUCAGCCAGUGUUUGCCAAGUAUGUGC